UUCAGUUAGCUUCCAGCUGAUUAAAUUUAGAAAAACUUUUACCCGUUUCGCGUUCUCGCAACUUCACUCGUCCGACUUUUCUAUUUUUAUAUAUUUUCGUGUUAUCUUGGUGUGGCGGGUGUGAAGUUUGGCGAAUCUUCGGCACAACGUUGACGAUCUUUCGACGGAUUUUAAUAGUAUGACACGAAUUGGGCAAGACGAGGAACAAACACAGAUACGAUUCCACGAGCAAGCUCUCAGCCCACGAUUUGAUCGGUACCGCCAUGAAUAUCUUUGAAGAACGCCACAGAAUUCGGUGAUUGUGGCCGCAUCGAUUCUGCCUCGUUCGCGUAGUACGCGUAGUUGUCGGGGAAGAGGAUCGUGAACAGCGAAGCAAUUACUGGCAUGCUGUGAAUGGAAUAUACGUAUGGUGUUUCAACGAGCGUAUCCACGCAAUGGACAAAACGGAUUAUCGAUGCUUGGAUAAAGAAACGUUAAAAUGGAUUUUCAUUGUGUCUACUACUGUUGCAACCAUACGAUGCUUGAUCUCGUAUUUUAAUAAACUUCUAUAUGUUUGAUAUUUUGCGCCACUGUUCCCCGAUUUUAUACAGAAG
rnacentral:misc_RNA from 1 species